UACGGAGGGAGCUAGCGUUGUUCGGAAUUACUGGGCGUAAAGCGCACGUAGGCGGCUUUGUAAGUUAGAGGUGAAAGCCCGGAGCUCAACUCCGGAACUGCCUUUAAGACUGCAUCGCUUGAAUCCGGGAGAGGUGAGUGGAAUUCCGAGUGUAGAGGUGAAAUUCGUAGAUAUUCGGAAGAACACCAGUGGCGAAGGCGGCUCACUGGACCGGUAUUGACGCUGAGGUGCGAAAGCGUGGGGAGCAAACAGG
rnacentral:rRNA from 1 species